GUGGUUGAAAAAUUAGUUUUAAUGACUCCAACCUAAACUUCUGUAAACUUCUGACAUCAACGUUAGGAGAGCAAUAUUUGAUAUGGAUGUGCUUUUGGCAUGAAGGAUGGCAGAAGAAAACGCUGAGACUGUAGAGAAUGAGAAUUAGAGUGCUCGGACCAAGAUGUGCCACAGGGCAAAAUAGACAGGAAGUGACAUCACAGGGGGGAACAUUCCGCACCUGUUUAUUGGCCAGGCUGGGCUGGGCUGACUGUGUCACUCUGGUCCCCUAUUUGUGCUGCAUGAGAAACAGGGGGAGGCUGACUGACAAGCACAAACGGGCAAACAUACUCUUGGCUCAGGCCUUGUGCGUGUGUGUGUGUACUUGUGAGUGAGAGUCUGGUUUUGUGAAUGUGUGUGCAUGUACUGUACUCUGUGUGUGUGUGGUUAUGUGAAUGUGUGUGCGAGUGUGUGUGAGUGACUGUACUUUAUGUGUGUGUGGGUGAAACAGUCUGGAGGACAGGUUUGCUGACAGCAGCUCCCAGCUCUGAUUUGGAUGGCUGCGAGGUGCUGACAGCUGGCUGUUAUUUCAUGGACCCGCUGGGGGCCAACGUGAUGGAACAGGACUGAGAGAAACUCCCUCCUGCUCUGUUCCUCCCUGCCGUUGUCCAGGGGCUCGUUAUUAAAAGAGUGACUUUUGGAAAACCACUUCAUUCACGAAUGUGCUGUCCCAUUAGCCAAAAAUUCCAUUGAAGAAUCCAGGGACCAUGGGAGGAGAUGGGAGGGUAGAAAGGAGGACAUUGAGUCAGAUUGGUAGCCCUGGUGAACUCUCUGGGGAGAGGGAAGAGAAGGAAUAGGGGAAGGGUGUGUGAGACAGGAUUGACAGCUCUCUGACACACACUGGGCCCACUGAGAUGCUCUGGAGUCUUUCCAUCAGCUGUCAUAUCCUGUCGAUGAGAGAGAGAGCUGGGUUCGCCUUAAUCUCUCUCUCUCUUUCUCUCUUUCUCUCUGUCUAUCGGACUCUCUGUUUGUCUUCAAAUCAGAUUUUUCGUAAACAACAGGUGUAGACUAACAGUCUAAAUUGACAUCUUGGCUCCAGAUGCCUGUCAAUCCACCGAAGAUCCUACAGUGAGUGUCAGCACCUUGUUUCAAUUGCACACUUCUUGGUGUCAGAGAUAGUGGAGAAGUGUGGAAAAAGAGAGGAAUGAAGAAUGAUGGACAGAAAUGAACCCAGUAUCCCAGUAUGGGUCAUGGAGGAGGAAAUAUAAGGUUUCAUGUGUUGGCAUAGCCUCGGCUAUGUACAGUACGUUGGCAUAGCCUCGGCUAUGUACGAGCCCUGGGCGAUUGCUGCUUGUUGUGUACUCUGUCUGGAGGAGUUGAGGGGUAGGGCCCCUGGGUGAAAAGAUUGACCUGUCAUCCCAGACAAUGAUCUAUAACCUGUUGCAGGAUUCCAACCCUCCCAGAUCAGCCCCAUCAGCCCUGAGUGCCACAGGACUACACACAGACGAGCCGUCCGAUAAACCCUUACUCCUAUGACCUUCACUUCUCCGCUCCUGCAGACACACACAAGCAUGCGUAGGCAAACGCAUACACACCUCCCAGCCACAUGUGACCGACCGCCUUGAUUCGGUCUUAUGUAGGCAAAUUUGAAAUGGUGUUUUUUACAUUGGAUAAAAGCAGACACUGAGCUACAAAAUGGUAUAUCAUACACUGCAUUUGAGGAACAAUGGGAAAGUAAUUAUGCUUUAAAUGUUGAUAAACUCACUUUUGAGAAAAAAGCUUUUUGUCACGCCCUGAUCUGUUUCACCUGUUCCUGUGAUUGUCUCCUCCAGGUGUCUCUUAUUUUCCCCAGUGUAUUUAUCCCAGUGUUUCCUGUCUCUCUGUGCCAGUUCGUCUUGUAUGUUUUCAAGUCAACCAGCGUGUUUUCCCGUGCUCCUGUUUUCUAUUCUCUUUUUCUAGUCUUCCCGGUUUUGACCCUUGCCUGUUUUUUCUGGACUCUGUACCCGCCUGCCUGACCCUUCUGCCUGCCCUGCCAUCGAGCCUGCCUGUCACUCUUUACCUCUUGGACUCAGAAUCUGGUUUUGACCUUUUGCCUGUCCACGGCCAUUCUCUUGCCUACUUUUUUUGGAUUCUAAAUAAACUACAAAGAUUCUAA
rnacentral:lncRNA from 1 species